rnacentral:tRNA from 1 species
AAAAAUUUAGUUAAACCCAUAACAUUAGCUUGUCAAGCUAAAAUUAUUAGCCACUAAUAAUUUUUA